rnacentral:rRNA from 1 species
ACCAGACUCCUACGGGAGGCAGCAGUGGGGAAUAUUGCACAAUGGGGGAAACCCUGAUGCAGCGACGCCGCGUGAGUGAGGAAGUAUUUCGGUAUGUAAAGCUCUAUCAGCAGGGAAGAAAAUGACGGUACCUGAGUAAGAAGCCCCGGCUAACUACGUGCCAGCAGCCGCGGUAAUACGUAGGGGGCAAGCGUUAUCCGGAUUUACUGGGUGUAAAGGGAGCGUAGACGGCGAUACAGGUCUGAAGUGAAAGCCCGGGGCUCAACCCCGGGACUGCUUUGGAAACUGUGUUGCUGGAGUGCUGGAGAGGCAAGCGGAAUUCCUAGUGUAGCGGUGAAAUGCGUAGAUAUUAGGAGGAACACCAGUGGCGAAGGCGGCCUGCUGGACAGUAACUGACGUUGAGGCUCGAAAGCGUGGGGAGCAAACAGGAUUAGAUACCCUAGUAAUC